UAGAAUGAAAUUCGCUUGUGGUAUUAUCUA
rnacentral:piRNA from 1 species